rnacentral:rRNA from 1 species
GACGAACGCUGGCGGCGUGCUUAACACAUGCAAGUCGAACGGAAAGGCCCUGCUUUUGUGGGGUGCUCGAGUGGCGAACGGGUGAGUAACACGUGUGUAACCUGCCCUUGACUUUGGGAUAACUUCAGGAAACUGGGGCUAAUACCGGAUAGGAGCUCCUGCUGCAUGGUGGGGGUUGGAAAGUUUCGGCGGGUGGGGAUGGACUCGCGGCUUAUCAGCUUGUUGGUGGGGUAGUGGCUUACCAAGGCUUUGACGGGUAGCCGGCCUGAGAGGGUGACCGGCCACAAUGGGACUGAGAUACGGCCCAGACUCCUACGGGAGGCAGCAGUGGGGAAUAUUGCACAAUGGGCGGAAGCCUGAUGCAGCAACGCCGCGUGCGGGAUGACGGCCUUCGGGUUGUGAACCGCUUUCGCCUGUGACGAAGCGUGUGUGACGGUAAUGGGUAAAGAAGCACCGGCUAACUACGUG